AGCCAAUGGGCCAUGGCUGGCUUCCCACAGUACCUGGCUUCCUAACCUCCCACUCCACCUCCCCAUCACAGCCCAGGGACUGUGGAGAGCAGCGGAAUUAUCACAGAGCAUCCUAGAAUCCAUGUUUAUGCGUGAAUUUUACCAUCAAAGACUACUCAGAGGAGAACUUUAAGAAACGUGAAGGCGGAAUUUCCCAACAAAGAGGGUCGAGGUUCGGAUUCCUGUGUCCUGAAGUCUGCUCCACAACCUUGUCCAACGCAGGCUCCAUCUCGGCUGGGGGUGGGGAAAGACCCACUGCUUCCGGUGUGGGUGGAGCCAUGCCUGCUGGCACCGCCUCCCACUCAGUGACCUCGCAGGAUGACUGACAGCCACCUCCACGGCAUUGCAGUGUCUGCGAUGGUAAUAGCUCAAAAGAUGGGCUUGUCCUGAAUUCCAGGGAUCUUACUGAUGUCAGGCUUGGUCUGCGUUUGACGCUGUCACCCUCGGAUGGACAAGGUUAGAUCUUCUAUCUUCAGCUGAAACGCUGUGGUACAGGACAGUUCCGGGAGGUUCCUGCAAUAGCUGCCCAGGCCAGCAUCGCAGGUGUGCAAACGCAGGAAGAACGCUCUCUCCAGCCAUGCCAGCCCCCGGCACAACUGCCGUGGCGUGGGCCUGGAGUGUCAGGCGUGGAUUUUCUGCUGCACUGUGGACUGUUCUUGGCCGAGACGUCCUUUGGGCUCUCUAGGUGCAGGACAUUUUCCUAGUGGCAUCCGUGUUGUUCUCCAGCCCUCUGGCCCAUGGGUCCCUCCCCCAGCGAUGCUCUGUCUUACCUGCCACAGGAUUCACUCCUUUGUUCAUUUAUCCCUUCCAUAGCUGAGUGACGAAGAGUGACGGAGGUCCCUGCUCUCACGGACUUGAUAUUCCCGUAAAAGGCAGCAAUUAAUGAAUAAAGCAAACAAAUUA